GCCUGACUGGCUCAGUUGAUGGAGUAUAUGACUCUCGAUCUCGGGGUUGUGAGUUCAAACCCCACGACGGGCA
rnacentral:tRNA from 1 species